rnacentral:ncRNA from 1 species
UUGAGCCGUGUGCGGUGAAAGUCGCACGCACGGUUCUGAGGGGGCCCUGCCACGGCAACGUGGCGGGGCUACCCGAC